UACGUAGGGGGCAAGCGUUGUCCGGAUUCAUUGGGCGUAAAGAGCUCGUAGGCGGCUUGGCAAGUCGGGUGUGAAACCUCCAGGCUCAACCUGGAGACGCCACCCGAUACUGCCAUGGCUAGAGUCCGGUAGGGGACCACGGAAUUCCUGGUGUAGAGGUGAAAUUCGUAGAUAUUGGGAAGAACACCGGUGGCGAAGGCGGGUCUCUGGGCCGAUACUGACGCUGAGGAGCGAAAGCGUGGGGAGCGAACAGG
rnacentral:rRNA from 1 species